AGGCCCCUCCCCCAGGCGGCCCCGCCUCCAAACGGACCCGCCCCACUCCGUCCUUAGCCCUCUCGCUUCCCGUCACCGAGCAGGACGAGCCCUACGUCCCACCGCGUCCAUGACGUUGCACGGCCCCGCCCACUCCUGCGGACGUAAGCCGGAAGCUCCCGCCCCGCCUGCCGAGUAUCAGCUGCAGUCCGCCUGACCUGCUCAUCCGGACUACCUAUCCACAGUCCCUCGCCAGCCACACGAUGCCUUCAUCACCCCAUGGCUCACAUCUGUAAAAUCAGCGUCAUGAGGACAAUGCAGGGAUCUGCCACCGCCUCGAAUAGUCAGUCCGUUCUAAACAGAACAGGGCACCUGGGCACAAACAUCCACUAUGGGGAAACGAGUUUCUGCAAACAGUUCCCUGGGUGGUCCUUUGAGGUUCUCUUCUCAAUCCAAAUAAAAUCCUUGCAGAAAAUUGACAAACAACAAACUCUUCAUUUUAAAACUUCUGAAGUAUAGUUCUGUUUAACAGACUUCGAAUGGAGAGGAGGUCCGCACAUCUGGAGGUGUAGACUAGAGCCACUUAAAAUAGGCUAUGUGCAGGGAUAAUGCGAACUUGGUGCAAGGCAAUGGGAAAGCCAGGGCUCCGUAGCUGAGAGCAACAACUGCUCUAAAUUCAAUUCCUAGCACCCGCGUGGAGGCGGGCAAUCUUCUCUAGUUCCAAGGGACCCAACACCCUCUUCUGGGCUCCAUAGACCCAUAUGCAUAGAAUAAGAAUAAAUCUCGUUUUCUUUUUUAAAGACCAUCUUUUCAAGAUGCCUUCAUUAUUAAGUAGCUGUGGAAGAUACUCAAAUUUAAGUACAUGAGUUUGAACCUUGAACCCACCUAAAGUCAGGAGAACCAACUCAACAGAGCUGGCCUCUGACCUCCACGUCUGUGGACUUUGGUUACCGAGCUUUUAGCGUCCUAGUGGGCAUGCUGGGCCUUUAACUCAAGGUUUCACACAUGCUAAGCAUGUACUUAUGUGAACUACACUCCCCGCUCCUGCACCAUGUAUCUUUUAAAAUUAAACGUUCAUCGCUGCCUGUUUUUCAAAGUAUAUAAAAAGUUUUUGUCAAAUGGUUAUGCUCAAGCAAAUAUUAACUGGCUCUGGAGCAUACCAGACACACUAAUGGCUAGGCCUUAGACCAGUUUCUACAUUAAACAGCUCCUUGUGCUGCAUUUCUCCAUGUUUGUUGCUCUCCCCUCUCUAAGUUUUGCUACUUCUAUACUUACCAUGAAGCAGCAAUCUGGUGACCAACUCCAAACCUUGCUUUCAUUUGUUUUCUUGUUGUCUAUGUUGAGGCAAAUAUUACGUGGGCCCAUGUUACCCAAUCCGUUUCUUAGUAGUUGAGGAUUAUUAUUUUUUCUAAUGAACAGUAACACAAAUGUAUUUAUCCCCUAAAUGUAUUAUGAAUAUGGUAACAGUGAUAUUUACAUACACCUUCCACUUCUGUAGGCUAGUUGAUUCCACAAGACAAAAAAACUUUGAAGUUGCUGGCUACCUAGAAGCAUGAGGCAUUGUAGUAAUAUUUCACUUCAUUUAUAUUUUAAUUAAUAAAGCUUGCCUGAAGGUCAGAAAGUAAAACAGCCCUAUUGAUUUGCCAUAGAAACCGGGUGGUAGUGGUGUCUGCUUUUGAUCCCAAAACUAGAGAGAGCAUUAUAAAACAGGAGGAAACAGCUUUCACAGUCUCAUUCUGAGAUUCAUGACGGCAGGAUUGCCACUUUGGACAGAGGUAGAGGUAAGAGCCAGAGCGGCUGGCUGUUUUGCUUUUCUGACCUUCAGGUUGAACCCGUUUCUGUCUCUGGGCUUUUAUUAAUUGUGCUACAGGGCACUUAGUUUAAAAAGAUCCUACAGGCUAAUGUGUGAUUUAUAAACUUCACCGAAUCAUUCCCAUGCCACAAGCUUGCCACAGUUUAACAUUAAUAGUCAAGUUUCACUUUUUUGCACCAGACAUUUCAAAUAUAAGAACCCUUUUUUUUCUCCUGGAGAAAUUCUACUUGCAUCAAAAUACAACUAACCCAUUGAUUGGAUGUUACACUUGUCAAAGAGGUUCAUGAAAUCUUUAUCCAUGCUAUGUUUUAUUAUUAUUAUUUGUGAACGUCACCAUACAUGCACAGGUAGAGGUCAGAGGACAACUUGCAGUUGGCUCUCUCCUUCUACCUUGUGGGUGGGUUCGGGAGAUCAAAUGCAAGCCACCAGGCUAGGCAGCAAGUGCCUUUACCCACUGAGCCAUCUUUUUGAGUUUGUGGUCCCUAUGAAUUUUAAAGAUAGAACUUAGGACAAUAAAAUCAGUUUUUCAUUAUAUGCUUUUCAUUUUAAGACAUUAAGAUUUAAAAGACACAUAACAUUGCUAGCUCUAGAGCAUCCCCACAUCUUUAAAGUUCUAGAUACCAUUGGGGAAAGUAACUGAAGAAUAAGUCUCCUGUUUUUAAAUCUUUAGCAAGUUUAUGAGUCAGCAUUUUCAGAACAGCAUUGUGAGAACAUCAGGAUGGCCACAUGGUCUAAGGCUCCAGACUGAAUGGAAUGCACCCUAGAACUUUGCCAGCACGCUUCACUAUCCUAGAACUCAGUUGCAUGAUCGUCCCCUUCCACAAAAUACUACUGCAGGCCAAUGUUCAGAAUGCAAACUCGCAGUGCCUGUGAUGAAACCUAAGAGAUGGACAGUCUUCACUAAAUCAAUUCCGAGGAAGUAACAAGACAAACAUCGAAAGUGCUUAGCACACAGUUAGUACUUAUUAAAAGUACUGAAGAGGAAGGUAAUGCAGUCAGCAGUCUGAUGUGUCUGAACUGUAAGCAAGAUAAGAGACUUAAGUCCUGUGGUAACUGAACGGUCAACACUACCCAGGCAGUCCACUAAAGGCACAUCCAUCCAACCGCGAUCAAGCGAGAGCCAUGAUUAAACAACAGUUGUACUUUUUGCAUAGAACUUAAGAACUUUGUAGUGGAUUUAUGUCCAUAAGUGAAACAGGAUGCUCUCUGGAAUUCUCUAUUAUGAAGAUGACCGGCUUCCACCGUAUAUCAGAAAAGGGACUGGAGACACACAGUGCCCAGGCAUCUGCAUUAACAAACCACAAGAAAACCUUUGCCAUACAAAAGCAAAAGUAUUUCCUCUGGGAAGAUGUCAGUUUUUAGCUUGAGCCUGGCAGUUGUCAUGGCAUUCAUCAAAAUAACCCUGUCUUUACAGUGGAGAAGCUAUCCUCUCUCAAGCCAAUACGCAGCCAUCGUGAUAUCCACACUUUAGGGGAAAGUGGGAAGUAGCAAAGCUCCAAACACCAGUCAAGUUUAUUCCUGGUCUUCCUGAACUGUCUCCAGUUCUGUUUCACUUAAUCGCUAAACAAGACCAAAAGAGAACCUUAUUUUUAUGACUUUAUUUUAUAUUUAGAACCAUUUUAUGCUUAACUUUAAAAAAAAGAAAAAGAGAAAAGACUCACUCCGCUUUUAUUAUUACUAAGAGCAUUUUAACCAAAAUCUUGAUUUAGGAAGACCUCAGACAUUCUGCAUUAUUUUUAAUAAUGCAUUAUUUUAAAUAUGUUUAUUCUUUCAAUAACUAUUAAAAAUAAGUUUACAAUUAGGGUUGCAAGUGUCCUAGUCUAAUUUGUUCAUUUACUACUGACCAAGCCUGUGCGUGCACACAGGACUGACAUUGAUGUUUUAUACCUUUCAAAUGCUUGUUAGCUCUUAAUAGUAUUUAGAUAUAACAAUCAAUGUCUCACUUUGGCUAAUUUACACACAUCAUACAGCAUGGUGUUGUAUAAGUUUUAAGUAACCUUCACUACUAUGAUUCAAUUUCAAAUAUUUUAGUGUUAGAAGGGCUGAGAAUGCCAUGUGCUUCAAGUCUUUAAAAGAAGUUCCCUUUCUUUAAACAUGACAAUUAUCGAAGGCCAGAAGUCCUAGAGGAAUUGAGAAGAUAGGUGAGAGAUGACAGAACUUCUCUCAUUUUUCAUAUUUAAAGUGACAACUUAAGUCCUAGGGGGACUUUCUUUUCCUUGUCAUUCCACUGAAUAAAACUGCUGAGUCCACAAAGAGUAAGGGCAUUGUUCAAAAAUCACAUAGAGUCAUUUAAAAAACAAAACAAAACCUGUCACUUAGUUUUCAGUUAGUUAACUCAAACUUUCUGUGUGAAUUGAUGGUUACACAUCACUUCUGCUUAUGAAAAGAAAAGGCCUGGCUGGGUGCCAUUCAUGAUUCUCUGCUAACUGUAAAAUGUGGACUGGUUUUCUUAGCUUUCUUAUAGUCCAUACAUAUGUAUAUAAACUUAAAAAAAAGUAUGAAUAUAACCAUGUCAGUGCAUUGCCCUUAGCUUUAAAAAUGUACAACUAUAUAAAUAAAAACUGUUUCUUCAAUAUUACUUGACAUUUCUUCUGUAAUUUAUUUAAAAAAGUAAAAUGUAACAAGAUAUUUUAAAAAGGCUAGAUACAAAAGUAUUUAAGCUGCUCACGAACAUUUAAAAUUUUCCAAAAUGUAUUUUCAGUAAUCAUGAUCUUAUAAAGCAUUUUACAGUUACCAGGAAGUGCCCAGCUGUGUACACAUAACUGAAUUCCCUUAGCACAAAUGUCUGGCUAGGACUGAAGGGCGGGAACAUGUCUAACUGCCUUGAAACAGGUACAAGGAAAGAGAAGGUGACUCUAGUAAGGACUGUGCAUUGGCCCCACCAUAUGUACAGAAAACGUGCCCUCUCUCAACUCAACAAAUUACAUGCAAAUAUUAGUGGUAUCGCUUAAUAUCCUGGAGCUCAAUGCAGCGGAAAUAAGCCGCAGUAAAAGUGGGUUUUAUAGGUAAAAGUGAUUUUUGUCUCUAAAAUUUGGAUGUCAAGAACUUUUUACAAGUUCCAUAUACAUGAUACACAAUUGCAGCCAACCACAAAUUAAACACCAUAAAAAAGUUAAAAGAAAAACACAGAACAUACUUAAUUUUUUAUUUUGAAAUCCCCUAUUCCCUCUAUACAAGAGCCUUUGCAAACGCUUCGCACAAAGGCAGCAUUGCAUGUUCAGAACAUCUUACAUUUUU